rnacentral:rRNA from 1 species
AUUGAACGCUGGCGGCAUGCCUUACACAUGCAAGUCGAACGGUAACCGGUCUUCGGAUGCUGACGAGUGGCGAACGGGUGAGUAAUGCAUCGGAACGUGCCCAGUAGUGGGGGAUAGCCCGGCGAAAGCCGGAUUAAUACCGCAUACGACCUGAGGGUGAAAGGGGGGGAUCGCAAGACCUCUCGCUAUUGGAGCGGCCGAUGUCAGAUUAGCUAGUUGGUGGGGUAAAGGCCUACCAAGGCAACGAUCUGUAGUUGGUCUGAGAGGACGACCAGCCACACUGAGACUGGGAAACGGGCCAGACUCCUACGGGAGGCAGCGGUGGUGAAUUUUGGUAUAUGGGCGCAUGCCUGGGCCAGCAAUGCCGCGUGCAGGAAGAAUGCCUUCGGGUUGUAAACUGCUUUUGUCAUGGAAGAAAUCUUCUGGGUUAAUACCUCGGGAUGAUGACGGUACCUGAAGAAUAAGCACCGGCUAACUACGUGCCAGCCGCCGCGGUAGCAC